UGGGGAAUCUUCCGCAAUGGACGAAAGUCUGACGGAGCAACGCCGCGUGAGUGAUGACGGCCUUCGGGUUGUAAAGCUCUGUUAAUCGGGACGAAUGGUUCUUGUGCAAAUAGUGCGAGGAUUUGACGGUACCGGAAUAGAAAGCCACGGCUAACUACGUGCCAGCAGCCGCGGUAAUACGUAGGUGGCAAGCGUUGUCCGGAAUUAUUGGGCGUAAAGCGCGCGCAGGCGGAUUGGUCAGUCUGUCUUAAAAGUUCGGGGCUUAACCCCGCGAUGGGAUGGAAACUGCCAAUCUAGAGUAUCGGAGAGGAAAGUGGAAUUCCUAGUGUAGCGGUGAAAUGCGUAGAUAUUAGGAAGAACACCAGUGGCGAAGGCGACUUUCUGGACGAAAACUGACGCUGAGGCGCGAAAGCCAGGGGAGCGAACGGGAUUAGAUACCCCGGUAGUCCUGGCCGUAAACGAUGGGUACUAGGUGUAGGAGGUAUCGACCCCUUCUGUGCCGGAGUUAACGCAAUAAGUACCCCGCCUGGGGAGUACGACCGCAAGGUUG
rnacentral:rRNA from 1 species